CAGUGUGUCGCACAGUUUCCGUUAUGGCGGCGUCUAUCAAGAUGUUUUGCUUGUACAUCUCGGCAUGAUUCUUGUAUUAUUUUUGAUAAACACACUCCCAUGUGUAACGUUAAGAUACAGGUUUCAUCGCUCUGCAACAGCCCAGAGUGGAUUUAUAUUAUCUCUAAAUAAACGGGGCAUUUUGAAGGAUGGUUUCCCUGAAAAAUCUGCCCAAGAUCAACUUCCUCAGCUACUGCAGUCUUGUUGCCAGACCGAGUACUGCGGAUUCGACCCCACGGCAGACAGCCUUCAUGUGGGUAAUUUACUCGCCAUCAUCGGGCUACUGAACUUUCAAAGCGCAGGACACACUGGCGUCGCUCUAAUCGGUGGUGCAGCACUGGUAGGAGACCCAAGCGAGAGAGAGCGUGCAGCGAAUCUUCACCAACCAUGAAUUGAAUUUUCCAGAACGACUCUAAGAAGUUUGGCACUGUAACCGUAUUGAACAAGUUAACUUUGUACAAAGACUGGAAUGGUUGCUUUUCUGGCAGAAGUUGGCAGACAUUUCCGAAUGGGGAAUCUGCUCAGUAGGCAUGCAGUGUUCAGUCCAGGUUGAAGAGUGCAGAAGGCAUGAGCCUUACUGAGUUCUCUUACCAGCUGUUUCAAGCCUAUGACUCCUACCACCUGAACCAGAAUCACAGCUGUAAGAUCCAGCUGGGAGGGACAGACCAGCUGGGCAACCAGAUGUCUGGGCACAAGUUCAUACACAAGGUGACUGGACAGGAGGUGUAUGGGCUGACCCUCCCACUGGUGGCCAGCUCUGUGUUGAACAAACUGGGGAAGACAGUGUGGCUGAACAGGGUCAAGACGUCUCCGUUUGUCCUUUGUCAGUUCUUCCUCAGGCAGCCUGUCAGCAGUGUAGAAUGGUAUCUGAAGCUGUUCACCUUCCUACCCCUGGCCGAGGUGGAGCGGGUGAUGGAGCAGCAGAGACAGGGACCAGGCAAACGGGCCGCACACAAACCUCUCGCUGCCGAAGUCACCAAACUGUAACACGACAAUGAGGGCAAAAGGUGCACCAAUGCCCGGUACCACAGUAACCUUCAGGCCCUGGAGCUGAUGCGUGAUGCUGAGCUGCAGGAGCUCUUCAGAGAUGCCCCAUUCCAUGAGUUGCUGCUGGAGCCAGGGCCCACAAUACUAGAUGCCCUCGGGGGCCCAAAGGGUAUCGCAUGGUUUCAGAAGGAACUGUAUGGAUCAACCACAGUAAGACAGACAACCCAGAACAGGUACUCAUCCCCGGCCAGCACAUCCUGACCAAUGUACUGUCUCUCCUCAGAGUGGGAAAAAAUAACUUCCAUGUCAUCAGGUGGCUCAAUCUGUGAGUGGAGCUCGGACCAUAUCACUUAUAUGCACUGUUUGUGUACUGGAGGUAGGACAGCAAGCUGGGCGACUUAGGUGAAGAGAGCUGGAUAUUGGAAAUAGACCUGUAUUGUUUCAAUAUAUCCCUGCUGAUAUCUAGGAGAGGAUUUAGUGCACUAUAUGUGUGUGGAUUCAAUGAAUUGUCUUGUUAGUUGUAUGUUACGUACUGUGUAUGUAAACGGUUAUAUUUUUGUGAUCGUUAGAUAUUAGAUAACCGAUUUGCCUAAUACCUAAUUUCACAACAAGGGGUCAGUGCAGUCUUCCCUUUAAAUGAGAACUGAGUAAAAGCUCCUUCAGACACCCUGUACCAAAGCUCGAUUUAUAAGACCCUAGUUACAUCCAGGAAUUAAAUUUAAAUAGCGAAAUAUCUUACAGCUAAAAUAGAUGAAUAUUUUGACAUUUUAAAACGGGCAAAAGCAAUAGGUAAUUAAAAACAGGUGGACAAGAUGUGUAGUGUUGUCACAUUUAGAUAUGGGUGAAAUAUAAAAUUAUUCACUCUUACUGUAGUCGUUCUAUUGCAAAUCGCCAAUGAGUUAUAAUUUAAGUAGUUAUUCAUUGAUGUUUGAUAAUAAAUUGUAAAUUGUCUAAUUGCGUUAUCCUGCAGAAAAUAUUGUUUUCCCAAUGAGAAAUGCUUGCCACUACUCUUAAUACCAUCCCUCCUUUUGCUGGGGUGUACAGUGGUGACCUUAACUGAGCUCAGAUAAGUCAAUAUUCACAUCUGUAUCAUAGAGAGAAAAAACUGGUCACCACCAUGCAAAAUAAUGAACAUGUUCAGAUUUUAUUAGCCUUUUAAAUGGUUGACAGUUUCAUGACAAUGACAAAAUGCUUCACACUGGCUUGUGUAUUUUCAAAUGUUUCAAAUCAUUAAGGUUGUAUUACAAUUCCACAUUUAUUGAAAAACUACUAUAAUUUUCAAAUAAAAUUUGAUUUCACUCUCUAUAUUUAUUGUUCUAUUUUGGUGCUAAAAAACUAUGACAUGAAGAUGGAGACCACUGAUAUUAAAAUAUGUUCUCAACAUAAACAAAUGAAUAAUGCAUACACUAAGUUCCCUUAUAAUGGCCCUUUAUUUAUUUACAUCCAUAGCUAAAAUGGUAGAUACCUAUAGUGAUUAUGGCUAUAGCCGUUACAAAGUAACAUGUAUAGAAAUGUGACAAUGUUGCAAAGCCUUUGUAACGUGCAUGAUAUGAUCGCCUUAGGAGAAUUGGGCGGGCCUACGUUUUUUUAACCAAUGAAUUCCCUUCUUCGUUUUAAAUAGUUCUCUGUGUCAAUCAGUUUUUUUCCCCAGUCAGCCUCCCCUCAAUCGCCAUAUUGGGUACUGAAAAGGUUUGUCUGUUAUUUCUUCUCUCUUACUACGAGAAUAAAUUGACAGGAGUGGCUUCAGUUACUGCACAUUGUUUUGAUGAUCUGACUACUUUAGCUCGCAUUGCCAUAUUGGAAAUUACCGUUUCUAUCCAGACCUAUGCAUGGCAUAAAAGUGUUGAUCAUUCGUUUUACGCUUGUUUUGGAUCGCGGUGAGAAAGGAGGAAAUACGAAUUUUUAAGUGUUCUAUUUGGACGUUAAUUGAUUCUCCGAAAAUGUCAGAUGUUCGACUUUCAAAUGGGAGCCCGACGUUGGAAAGGACGGAUGCUCGGUUGUCGGAUCACCCCAAACCGUCAGCCUGCAGAAUCAUUUUCGGCUCGCCGGAUCGCGAAGAGUUAAGGCGGGAUUUAAAGGGACAUUUGCAAGAGAUGGAAGCGGCGGCCUCAGCGAAGUGGAACUUCGAUUUUUCAAGCCACACACCUCUAUCGAACGGGAGAUUCAAAUGGGAAUUAAUGGAUUGUAAAGACAUUCCAAAUUUCUACACCAGAACGCAACGAUCAGUGAAAGACGUUUGCCCCUCUGGGAAUAACACUAUGGAUCUAAAUGGGAAUCAUAGUUGUGUGAUGGUGACUCCCCGGCAGCCCUCCGACAACACGGAGAGGUCAGAGAGCCAAAUGGAGAGUAAAGAGCAGUGCACCGGGCGGAGAAAAAGACCAGCCAGCCAUGAAUACCCCUCGUCCCAAAAUAAAAGGUCACACAGUAGUUCGAAUGAAGUUACUCCUUGCCCAGGCUUAGAAUACACACCCAGGAAAGCCAGUCCCAGGACUCAAACGUGAAGAUGACAAAGAGCUGAAAAUGCAUUUCCCCUUUUUGUCAUGGAAACCUAAGUGUUCGGUGAUUUUGAAGAGGAACUACAAAGACAACGAAACAUAUCAAUUCUCCCUAAGGAUGGGGACGCUGUGCAAGCACUGAAUAUAAACACUAAAGUUCUGGCACUCAUAAAGUUACUGCCUCUAAAAGCAGUCGAUGUAGCAGUGUGCAAUUAGGUUUUAUUUCCUUUUUUGCUCUUUUUUUUUCUUUUUUUAACUACCUGUGUAUAUAUUUAUUUUCAUAUGUAGCACAUAAAACAUAUUAUGAUUGGGGAGGGGGAAAAACUAUGUAAAAGGCAUGAAUUUGACUUGAAGAAUUGCGGUGUAGUUUUGUUUCCAAAAUGCUGUUUAUAAAUCCUGAUCCAUUUAAAAAAUGAUUGGAUUAAAUAAUUGUUCCUCAUCGAAGUAUCCUCAUAGGUCAUCUGUAUGUAGGGAGAGAUUGAUGGUACAUAAUGUGUAGCCUUGUAUUUUGGGUCAUUUAAGUGUCACACAACGUGGGUUCUCAGCCACCCCACGAAAACAAUGCCUCAAAUAAUGAUACAUUUCUGUUAUGACUAAAAAAGUAAUAUGUGAAGUCAGCCAAUAUUUAUUGUAUUUUGUUGAAAAUCUGUAGGCCUAUGUCGGUCACUUAAAUUCUGGAUUUUUUUUUAUUUUUACAAGUCUUCCUCUUCACCAUUUAAAAAAAAAAAGUGUAGCUAAUUUAUUUUUCUGACGUGGUAUAGGGUACUAAUUUGCUGAAGGAUAAAAUAUCUGUUAACUGUACUGGUCGUAUUAAUCAACUUCAUACUCGUGUUUAACGGUUCUUAAUAUUUUUUUUAAACAAUUAGGCCUUUUUAUGUUUGAAAUGUCCUACAAUACCAAAUACAUGGUUGCUUCAAUACGUCUGUGUCGACGCUUUCACCAUCAGGUUGCCUUGGCAUUGUACUCCUGUUUGAUACAGAAAGAUAAUUGAAUUUGUUAAUCUCCCCCUUCUCCCAGACAUUGUUAGUGCAGAUCAUGCAAAUGUAGUUUCUAAAAUAACUUUAAUUUCGCCCAGUUUCAAUCAGCCUUUGUUCAGAGGCUAAGAAUUGUCUCAAAGUAGUCACUGCCCGUGUAAAUCUAUUAAGUGUACAUAACUUUGUAAAAACACUGAGAAAUUAUACUAACUUAUUUAUGUCAAGCUUUUUUAUGUAGAAUAAAAUGGGGUUUUGAUCAAGGUUAUCCAAAGUGGCAUUUACAUAUAUUUUUUUGUAAGCAUAUUUUUGGUAGUUUUUAUUUUAUCGAAAAAGGUUGCAACCUGAGCCUGAUUUAAAAUAUUUGAUGUGCAUUUUUCAAUGUGUGAUUAAGAUGUCUUGCAAUCAAUUAAAACAGAAGAUAAAUCGUUA